rnacentral:tRNA from 1 species
CGAGGUGUAGCGCAGUUUGGUAGCGCACAUGGUUUGGGACCAUGGGGCCGGGGGUUCGAGUCCCUUCACCUCGGCCA